rnacentral:rRNA from 1 species
UGGGGAAUCUUGAGCAAUGGGCGAAAGCCUGACGCAGCCAUGCCGCGUGAAUGAUGAAGGUCUUAGGAUUGUAAAAUUCUUUCACCGGGGACGAUAAUGACGGUACCCGGUGAAUAAGCCACGGCUAACUACGUGCCAGCAGCCGCGGUAAUACGUAGGUGGCAGGCGUUGUCCGGAUUUAUUGGGUUUAAAGGGUGCGUAGGCGGCCUAUUAAGUCAGUUCUGAAAUAUCCCGGCUUAACCGGGAGGGUGGGAUUGAUACUGAUGGGCUUGAGUGGAAUCGAGGUAGGCGGAAUUGACGGUGUAGCGGUGAAAUGCUUAGAUAUCGUCAAGAACACCGAUAGUGUAGACAGCUUACUAGACUUCAACUGACGCUGAGGCACGAAAGUGUGGGGAUCAAA